GAUGAACGCUGGCGGCGUGCCUAAUACAUGCAAGUCGAGCGAACAGACGAGGAGCUUGCUCCUCUGACGUUAGCGGCGGACGGGUGAGUAACACGUGGAUAACCUACCUAUAAGACUGGGAUAACUUCGGGAAACCGGAGCUAAUACCGGAUAAUAUAUUGAACCGCAUGGUUCAAUAGUGAAAGACGGUUUUGCUGUCACUUAUAGAUGUAUCCGCGCCGCAUUAGCUAGUUGGUAAGGUAACGGCUUACCAAGGCAACGAUGCGUAGCCGACCUGAGAGGGUGAUCGGCCACACUGGAACUGAGACACGGUCCAGACUCCUACGGGAGGCAGCAGUAGGGAAUCUUCCGCAAUGGGCGAAAGCUUGACGGAGCAACGCCGCGUGAGUGAUGAAGGUCUUCGGGUCGUAAAACUCUGUUAUUAGGGAAGAACAAAUGUGUAAGUAACUAUGCACGUCUUGACGGUACCUAAUCAGAAAGCCACGGCUAACUACGUG
rnacentral:rRNA from 1 species